GAUGAAGAACGCAGCGAAAUGCGAUAAGUAAUGCGAAUUGCAGAAUUCAGUGAAUCAUCGAAUCUUUGAACGCACAUUGCGCCCGCCAGUAUUCUGGCGGGCAUGCCUGUCUGAGCGUCGUUUCGACCCUCGCGCCCGGCUUCUGUCGGGGGCGGUGUUGGGGAUCGGCCAAACCCUUCAGUGGGAGGCCGGCCCCUAAAUUCAGUGGCGACCACGCUGUAGCCUCCCCUGCGUAGUACUAAAACCACCUCGCAGGCGGAGAGCGGUGCGGCCCGCCGUAAAACCCCCCAACUUUUACAAGGUCGACCUCAGAUCAGGUAGGAAUACCCGCUGAACUUAAGCAUAUCAAUAAGCGGAGGA
rnacentral:misc_RNA from 1 species